UCUAUUAACCAGACAUGGACUCAGAACAAAUACGCAAAUCUGUCACCUCGGGUUGUCCAACAACGAUAACGCUAAUAUAUACAUACUACCACCUUGGGUUGCCCGACAACGAUGGUUUUCACAACCUGUUAAUUUUGUCACCCCGGGUUGCCCAGAAACAAUGGCUCUAUAUGUUUUUUUCCUACCCAAAAGUUAGUUGAUCACCCAAGUAGUUUACCCUUAAAAAAUUUAAGGUGUAAUGCCGUAAUUACCCAUCCAAUUCUAUCUUUUCC
rnacentral:lncRNA from 1 species